GAACGCUGGCGGCGUGCCUAAUACAUGCAAGUCGAGCGGAGGACUUCGGUCCUUAGCGGCGGACGGGUGAGUAACACGUAGGUAACCUGCCGCAUCGACCGGGAUAACAUUCGGAAACGAAUGCUAAGACCGGAUAGGAUCCUUGGUUGCAUGACUGGGGAUGGAAACAUGGGCUACAUGGCGAUGAGAUGGACCUGCGGCGCAUUAGCUAGUUGGUGGGGUAACGGCUCACCAAGGCGACGAUGCGUAGCCGACCUGAGAGGGUGAACGGCCACACUGGGACUGAGACACGGCCCAGACUCCUACGGGAGGCAGCAGUAGGGAAUCUUCCGCAAUGGGCGAAAGCCUGACGGAGCAACGCCGCGUGAGUGACGAAGGUCUUCGGAUCGUAAAGCUCUGUUGCCAAGGAAGAAAGACUCGGUUAGGGAAUGAGCCGAAAGUGACGGUACCUGCAAAAGAAGCACCGGCUAACUAUGUGCCAGCAGCCGCGGUAAUACAUAGGGUGCAAGCGUUGUCCGGAAUUAUUGGGCGUAAAGAGCUCGUUGGUUGUUAGUUACGUCGGAUGUGAAAUUUUGGGGCUCAACCCCGAACCUGCAUUCGAUACGGGCUGACUAGAGUUUGGUAGGGGAGACUGGAAUUCCUGGUGUAGCGGUGGAAUGCGCAGAUAUCAGGAGGAACACCAAUGGCGAAGGCAGGUCUCUGGGCCAAUACUGACACUGAGGAGCGAAAGCGCGGGGAGCGAACAGGAUUAGAUACCCUGGUAGUCCGCGCCGUAAACGGUGGGCGCUAGUUGUGGGGACCUUCCACGGUCUCUGCGACGCAGCUAACGCAUUAAGCGCCCCGCCUGGGGAGUACGAUCGCAAGAUUAAAACUCAAAGGAAUUGACGG
rnacentral:rRNA from 1 species